rnacentral:rRNA from 1 species
GUCCACCUACGGGGGGCAGCAGUGGGGGAUAUUGCACAAUGGGGGAAACCCUGAUGCAGCGACGCCGCGUGUGGGAAGACGGUCCUCUGGAUUGUAAACCACUGUCCCCAGGGACGAAGAUGACGGUACCUGGGGAGGAAGCUCCGGCUAACUACGUGCCAGCAGCCGCGGUAAUACGUAGGGAGCGAGCGUUGUCCGGAAUUACUGGGUGUAAAGGGAGCGUAGACGGCAGUGCAAGUCUGAAGUGAAAGGCAAGGGCUCAACCCUUGGACUGCUUUGGAAACUGUGCUUCUGG